rnacentral:rRNA from 1 species
UGCAGCGACGCCGCGUGAGGGAUGACGGCCUUCGGGUUGUAAACCUCUUUCAGUAGGGACGAAGCGCAAGUGACGGUACCUAUAGAAGAAGGACCGGCCAACUACGUGCCAGCAGCCGCGGUAAUACGUAGGGUCCGAGCGUUGUCCGGAAUUACUGGGCGUAAAGAGCUCGUAGGUGGUUUGUCGCGUUGUUCGUGAAAACUCACAGCUCAACUGUGGGCGUGCGGGCGAUACGGGCAGACUGGAGUACUGCAGGGGAGACUGGAAUUCCUGGUGUAGCGGUGGAAUGCGCAGAUAUCAGGAGGAACACCGGUGGCGAAGGCGGGUCUCUGGGCAGUAACUGACGCUGAGGAGCGAAAGCGUGGGGAGCGAACAGGAUUAGAUACCCUGGUAGUCCACGCCGUAAACGGUGGGUACUAGGUGUGGGUUUCCUUCCUUGGGAUCCGUGCCGUAGCUAACGCAUUAAGUACCCCGCCUGGGGAGUACGGCCGCAAGGCUAAAACUCAAAGAAAUUGACGGGGGCCCGCACAAGCGGCGGAGCAUGUGGAUUAAUUCGAUGCAACGCGAAGAACCUUACCUGGGUUUGACAUGCACAGGACGCCCGUAGAGAUAUGGGUUCUCUUGUG